ACAGGGUAUAGAGAGAAAGAGCUUUUCGAAUGUGCAUUUGUGGGCGUAUGAAGAUCCUUCAUUGUUUGCAAUAUGUAUGUUUCCUUUGGUGUACUUUUUCGUAUGGUAGGUCAACGUCGGUUUUGAUCGCCAUAAAAUGAUCGGAGGAAUGUAGCUUCGACCUCGGUUGAAGUGUUAUAGCCUUUGGUAAAUGUGGUGAUUAAGACCGAGGAUUGCAACGAAUACCUUUUAGGCUAUCCGUCUGACCUCUGAAAGUUACUUGGGUGUCGAAAGCUUGCUUACGGCCAUUUAAGUUAACGGUCAAAAGGUUAGAACGUGAUUACAUUCGUUAAGAGGUUGGACGUAAAAAAAGUACGCCCCCCCCACCUAACAGGCGCCUACUAUAUUGCAUACAGUGAAGAUCUCAUACGCCCACAAAUGCACAUUCGAAAAUCUGAUUUCUCGUCGGUACGACUGACUUCCAUCGGUUCCCUUUCAAAAA
rnacentral:rRNA from 1 species